rnacentral:rRNA from 1 species
GAUCCUGGCUCAGGAUGAACGCUAGCUACAGGCUUAACACAUGCAAGUCGAGGGGCAGCAUUUUAGUUUGCUUGCAAACUAAAGAUGGCGACCGGCGCACGGGUGAGUAACACGUAUCCAACCUGCCGAUAACUCGGGGAUAGCCUUUCGAAAGAAAGAUUAAUAUCCGAUAGUAUAUUAAAACCGCAUGGUUUUACUAUUAAAGAAUUCGGUUAUCGAUGGGGAGUGCGUUCCAUUAGUUUGUUGGCGGGGUAACGGGCCC